rnacentral:misc_RNA from 1 species
UCCGUGUUCACCACGGCAGUCUCCUUAGAGAGCCCAACUGAAUGCUGGCAACUAAGGACAAGGGUUGCGCUCGUUGCGGGACUUAACCCAACAUGUCACCACACGAGCUGACGACAGCCAUGCAGCACCUGUCUCCCGGUCGGAUUGCUCCGAAAACUGCAUCUCUGCAGCGGUCCGAGGAUGUCAAACCCAGGUAAGGUUCUUCGCGUUGCUUCGAAUUAAACCACAUGAUCCACCGCUUGUGCGGGCCCCCGUCAAUUCCUUUGAGUUUUAGUCUUGCGACCGUACUUCCCAGGCGGGGCACUUAUCGCGUUAGCUCAGACUCGGCAGGGGUCAAGACCCGCCAAAUCGAGUGCCCAUCGUUUACAGCGUGGACUAC